UGUAGAGCACCUUUGCUCACUCUUAAUAAUAAUUGCAGUUAUUCUUCAUCAGAGAGCUCUUUUGGUUGUGUGCCACCAUCUCCUCAACCUAGUUGGGCUGUGGAGAGACUUCUCUACCUCUUCGGAGAUGAUCUUCUUCCUUGCUAGCUAUAUGUGCAAUAAGAAUUGUGAAGAGAUGAUUAAUGUAGAUCUAUUAGUUAGUUAGUUAGUUAGAGGAAUUCAUUAUUUAUUGCGUUUGAUCAUCAAUGUUUGGAGCUGCAAUCAAUUAGAUGAUACGAGUAGAACUAGGCACAUUAUUUAGGAUUUUAAUUUGUUUGUAUAUAGAUUUUUUUUUCCCCCAUAUCUGCCAUAUGAUGAUAUGAUAUAUAAUUCCAUUCUUGAAUUAAUAAUGGCCAUCUGUUUAUUCUGCAAAUAAAUGUUGAAAUAUAUACAUCUUUAUUUUUAUUUUAUCCUGUCCUCUAAUAUGUUUAAUUAAGUUCCGAGUUUAUGUUAUGAAAGUGGCUAUUCCUUCGUUUUUAUAUAGAUCUAGGCGACACUUUUUUCAGUAGAAAAUGAUUCAUUAUUAUUUCUUCAAAUACUGAGCAAGAUGUACCGUGGCAUAAUAAGAAGGCCAAGUGUGCGUCAUGCUGCAAAAGUUGCUAUGUUGUUAGUGGCACAUGCACUAGCACUCUAGCAUCACCCUCCAACAAAUCACAACAAUCCACACACCCAUAGAGAGUCAUCUCUCUUAUUCUUAUCUCUAUAUGGCCAAUAAUUAAGUGCCUUAUUGCCCUUCAUAGUUAGUUAUGUGCCAGUGCUUAAGUUUUAUUAGGCAAGCGUCGGUAAGUUCGUGAGAAAACAAAAUAUGAAAGUAUGAUUAAACUUUCUAUUCCCUACUUUUUAAGUAAUUAAAAAGUAAAAAGUGCAUUAAUUCAUACAGCUACUACUGUAUCACACUUAAUCAAUGAUGAAAGCUAUUGCGCUCUGAUCUGUUCUGUUUGUGGGGUUACUUCCAGCAAAACUAUCUACAGCACAUGUUACAUCAAUAAUUGCAGGAUUUUUUAUAAUAGCAUCAAUUUGAUAUACCUUUCCCUCCUUUAUUAUUCUCAACAGAAAAUAUACAAUCUUCCGACUCAAAUUCUCAUUCAAUAUUUAUACAAUAUUAUUCUAAGUGAUCAAUAAACUAAAACUCUUCAGCUUUCUGUAAGCCUUGCUGUAUGUGGUAGCUAGUAUUGUAUUGUAUUGUAUAUUUCAAGCAUGUGAACCAGACCAAAAUGACGUAAUCUAAUCUUUCGGAUAAAAGAAAAAUGAUGCAUUUAUUAACAGAAAGAUCUUAGAUGUCCUGAGAACAACCAUACCAUCGGUAUAUUAAACAUCAAUUAAUAAAUCAACUACUCAUAUAAAAUAUAUAUUAGAAUAAAAUACACAUUAAAUAAAUUANNNNNNNNNNNNNNNNNNNNNNNNNNNNNNNNNNNNNNNNNNNNNNNNNNNNNNNNNNNAAUAUAUAAAAUAUAUAAUACCUAAUUUAAUAUCUGAUUUUUUUGUAUGUAAAUAAUAUUUUUUCUCCUAAAAUACAUAAUGCCUAAUCAAACCAUGCAAAUUAAGAGUUGCAUCAAGAUGACCUUCUUUCUUCUUACCUUUUUUUUAUUUUAUAUAGUGAGGCUCUUUCAUUUACUUUACAAAAGAGAACAGAGAUUGAAUUUUUUUAUUUGAUGCUAAAUCUUAGGUGCUCCAAAGUUAGUCACUUAUUUUUUGCAGAUGAUUCAAUACUAUUUGGAAGAGCAACUGAGCAUGACUGCUACAAUGUUAUUCAAAUUCUUAAUGCAUACGAAGAAAUUAGUGAAUAGAAAAUGAACUUAGACAAAUCCUCAGUUUUCUUCAGCAAUAAUACUCUUACUCGCGUUAGAGAUCAACUAGUUGAUAUUUUACUAGUUCCGCAUGUAAAAAACAAAAACAAAUACUUGGGUUUGUCAACUGUAGUUGAGAGAUCAAAGAGAGCCACUUUUAACUAUAUUAAGGAUAAAGUUGAACAAAAAUUGCAACACGGCAAGAGAGUUUUGUUAUCAUCAAGCGGAAGCUGAGGGAGGUUCCUAUCAAAAUUAUUGUUAUUGUUGUUCCUAUUUACACCUUGAGUUGUUUUAAACUACCGAAAUCUCUUAUUAAUGAUAUCCAGAAGGCUAUUCUUCAAUUUUGGUGGAGUUAAAGAGGGUCGGAGAAAGAAUACAAUAGGUUAGUUGGAGAAUCUCUUCUAGACCUAAAGUCUAAAGAGGCCUAACUUUUAAAGACCUAAAAAUCUUUAAUCUCGGCAUGCUAGCUAAGCAAGGUUGGAGGCUCUUGACUAGACUGAAUUCAUUGGUGUAAAAGAUCUAUAAGAGCAAAUACGUUAAAUACUCUAAUUCUUUUAGAGCUUAAGUUGGGAUUAUCCUUUAUGGGGAUGAAAAGGCAUUCUUGAAGGGAGAAAAGUGUUGGAUAAGGUAAGAAAUUUUGUGAAAAGUGGGCAGAGGUUCAUCAAUCAGAAUCAGAGAGAACUCGUGGGUGAAAGACUACACAGCUAUUACCCUUAAUCCAUACUCGACUAUAUAGUACUCUCCAGAAUGGGACUCAAAGUUAAUCCUCCCAAAUAGAACUUGGAAUCAGGUUCUAAUUCAAGAUAUGUUCAUAACAAAAAUUACAACAGUCAUACUCGGUACAAAAAUUUAUCAAGGAAAAUAUGAAUUACCUGGAUGAAGGAGAAGGGUAGCUAUUCAAUGGCUUUUAGUAACCAUGUAGGAUCCAAAUUUUUCACCUUUCAGUGGAAUUUCUACUGAAAAAGUGUGGACACAAGGAAUUAUGGUCAGGUCUAUGGAACAUCAAUUUUCAACCCAAAUUAAGAAUUUUCUUUGGAAAAUAAUACACCAGGGUUUACCAAUGAUGCAGCAGAUGAAAGCCACAUUCCAGUACGUGAAUUCUUA
rnacentral:lncRNA from 1 species